CGGCGUGCCGUGCAUCGAGUAGGAGCGAAUCCAACUUCAUGGCAGUAAUGUCYACAUUAUAAAGAUGAGCAUCAAGGUUGUCUGCAAGGUGCUGAGUGAAGGUGUAGCGUUUGAAGUYUUGGGAGGGACUGGCGUGCAUCGCAAUGAAAUCUGACCGGGUCUGAAAAUAAACGGGCGAUGGGCAGUGUUUUUGUUCUUUUGCACACGCUAAGCUACAGCAAACUGAUACAGGAAAAGUGCUGCCAACGCGAGCCUGGUGACUGAUGACACAGCGUGCGGUCCAGGCCGGAUCCCGUCUCCUGGGUCAUCCAUCGCAACCCCCCAACGGAAGUGAUGAGUGGCUCUGUCCCGAUGCGGCUCGGCCCCGCUGCAGUCCAUCACGCGACAGAGCCACAGUACAACUUCAGCAUGUGGAGGACAGUGGAACAAUAACAAAAGUCAAGGCGGUGUCUGUAUCACAAGAGGUGACCAAACUAUUUACCACCA